GUCUUUGUGGCUCAGUUGGUUAGAGCGUUGGUCUCAUAUAAUUCUUUAUAUGAUUAGUCUGCACAACAGGCUGGUUAUCCAAAGGUCGAGAGUUCGAGUCUCUCCAAGGACA